UCCGAUGUGGUGUAGUGGCUAACAUUGCUGUCUUUCAUGCAUAUGACACAGCAGCCCGGGGUUCGAUUCCCCGCAUCGGAA